CGGAAUUACUGGGCGUAAAGCGUGCGCAGGCGGCUUCUCAAGUCAGGGGUGAAAGCCCAGAGCUCAACUCUGGAAUUGCCUUUGAGACUGAGUGGCUUGAGUACGGGAGAGGUGAGUGGAAUUCCCAGUGUAGAGGUGAAAUUCGUAGAUAUUGGGAAGAACACCGGUGGCGAAGGCGGCUCACUGGCCCGUAACUGACGCUCAUGCACGACAGCGUGGGGAGCAAACAGG
rnacentral:rRNA from 1 species